UACGAAGGGUGCAAGCGUUACUCGGAAUUACUGGGCGUAAAGCGUGCGUAGGUGGUGAGUUAAGUCUGUCGUGAAAGCCCCGGGCUCAACCUGGGAAUGGCGAUGGAUACUGGCUCGCUAGAGUGCGGUAGAGGAGAGUGGAAUUCCCGGUGUAGCAGUGAAAUGCGUAGAUAUCUGGAGGAAUACCGGUGGCGAAGGCGGCAUCCUGGACCGACAUUGACGCUGAACGGCGAAAGCUAGGGGAGCAAACGGGG
rnacentral:rRNA from 1 species